GACAGAGGGGGCAAGCGUUGCUCGGAAUUACUGGGCGUAAAGGGCGCGUAGGCGGGAUGGCAAGUCGGUCGUGAAAUCCCUCGGCUCAACCGAGGAACGUCGAUCGAUACUGCUGUUCUUGAGGAUUGCAGAGGAGACUGGAAUUCCCGGUGUAGCGGUGAAAUGUGUAGAGAUCGGGAGGAACACCGGUGGCGAAGGCGGGUCUCUGGGCAGAGACUGACGCUCAGGUGCGAAAGCGUGGGGAGCAAACAGG
rnacentral:rRNA from 1 species